AGAUCCUGGAGUAGCCACCUGGCCUCUACCCUCUCUUACAGUCUGAAAAGUCUGGGGCUGGCGGGUUGAGGGCAUAAGUGUGAAGUAGAAAUCAAAGUCCAUGUUUUUCCAUAUCGACCCAGCGCUACUUACGGAAAAGACAAUCCCUUCCCUCCCACAGGAGAACUGUCAUCAAUCAGAAAUGCUCACUCUGGAUGCAUUGUGGACGAUGGAUUGGUGGCGGAGUGGAUCCAGGGGAAUGUGUAGAAGAAUAUUGGCAAACCAAGAGGAGAUGAUGGUGGCCUGGAUGAGGGUAGUGGUCGUGGAGGAAGAGGAUGGAGGUGAAAUCAACAGGGCUUGGUGAUGGAUUGGAAAUGAGUGGAGGAUGCUUUGAACUAUAGCCAACAGAAAGCCCUAUUCAAACUGGUUUAAAAAAAUAAAGACUUCACCAAAGGCUGAAGAAACAGACUUUGAGUUGAAGUUUCAGGAAUAACUCCCGGGACUAGGUCAUCAAGAAAACUGCUGUAAUCAGAAAGCCACCGGCUCCAGAAUGCAUCACAGCUACCACCAGGGAGCCGCCAUUAUCAGGAGGCUGCUACUAAUGUGCCACACCAUCACACCACGCCUGCCACAGUCCUUGGCAGCAGAAUAAAUGCGUGUUCAUGUCUUAUUCUUGAUGUCCACUAAGCUAGGAAAACCACAUCUUUACCAACUGUACGACAGAAAAACCAGAUGUCUUCACAACUGUGUUGUUAGCAGAAAUGGCAAAAACAACAGGAAGAUGGCCUUCACCUUCCUUCCAUUUUCUACAUCUUGUGUGACUGAAUCUGAUUGGCUGAGUCUUAAUUGUCAGAGUCCUGGCUGCCAGGGACCCUGGCAUAGCAUGCUAGAAGGAGGUGCUGACCCAAUGUAUCCAUCACAUCACAUCAAACCACACAA
rnacentral:lncRNA from 1 species